rnacentral:rRNA from 1 species
UUCCGGUUGAUCCUGCCGGAGGCUACUGCUAUCGGGGUUCGAUUAAGCCAUGCAAGUUAAAUGUUCUUCGUGAACAUAGCGAACUGCUCAGUAACACGUGGAUAACCUACCCUUAGGACCGGAAUAACCCCGGGAAACUGGGGAUAAUACCGGAUAAGCCAUAGGCGCUGGAAUGCCCUAUGGUUCAAAGCUCCGGCGCCUAAGGAUGGAUCUGCGGUCUAUCAGGUUGUAGUGGGUGUAACGUACCUACUAGCCGACGACGGAUACGGGUUGUGAGAGCAAGAGCCCGGAGAUGGAUUCUGAGACACGAAUCCAGGCCCUACGGGGUGCAGCAGGCGCGAACACUUUACAAUGCGGGAAACCGCGAUAAGGGAACCCCGAGUGCCAGCAUCAAAUGUUGGCUGUCCAGAUGGUUAAAAAUCAUUUGUUAGCAAGGGCCGGGCAAGACCGGUGCCAGCCGCCGCGGUAACACCGGCGGCCCGAGUGGUAGCCGUUUUUAUUGGGUCUAAAGGGUCCGUAGCCGGCCUGAUAAGUCCUUUGGGAAAUCUGACAGCUUAACUGUCAGGCUUCUAAGGGAUACUGUCAGGCUUGGGACCGGAAGAGGUAAGGGGUACUCCAGGGGUAGGAGUGAAAUCUUGUAAUCCCUGGGGGACCAUCUGUGGCGAAGGCGCCUUACCAGAACGGGUCCGACGGUGAGGGACGAAAGCUAGGGGAGCAAACCGGAUUAGAUACCCGGGUAGUCCUAGCUGUAAACGAUGCUCGCUAGGUGUCAGACACGGUGCGACCGUGUUUGGUGCCGCAGGGAAGCCGUUAAGCGAGCCACCUGGGAAGUACGGUCGCAAGGCUGAAACUUAAAGGAAUUGGCGGGGGAGCACUACAACGGGUGGAGCCUGCGGUUUAAUUGGAUUCAACGCCGGG